GCUAUCGGAUUGAUACUAAGCCAUGCGAGUCUUUGUAGUAAUACAAGGCAGACGGCUCAGUAACACGUAGUCAACCUACCCUAUGGACAAGAAUAAUCUCGGGAAACUGGGCAUAAUUCUUGAUAGAUCAUAAUGCCUGGAAUGGUUUAUGGUUAAAAUGAUUCGUCGCCAUAGGAUGGGACUGCGGCCUAUCAGCUUGUUGGUGAGGUAAUGGCCCACCAAGGCGAUUACAGGUACGGGCUCUGAGAGGAGAAGCCCGGAGAUGGGUACUGAGACACGGACCCAGGCCCUAUGGGGCGCAGCAGGCGAGAAAACUUUGCAAUGUGCGAAAGCACGACAAGGUUAAUCCGAGUGAUUUCUGCUAAAGAAAUCUUUUGCCAGUCGUAAAACCGCUGGUGAAUAAGGGGUGGGCAAGUUCUGGUGUCAGCCGCCGCGGUAAAACCAGCACCUCAAGUGGUCAGGAUGAUUAUUGGGCCUAAAGCAUCCGUAGCCGGCUUUGUAAGUUUUCGGUUAAAUCCAUGUGCUCAACGCAUGGGCUGCCGAAAAUACUGCAUAGCUAGGGAGUGGGAGAGGUAGACGGUACUCAGUAGGUAGGGGUAAAAUCCUUUGAUCUAUUGAUGACCACCUGUGGCGAAGGCGGUCUACCAGAACACGUUCGACGGUGAGGGAUGAAAGCUGGGGGAGCAAACCGGAUUAGAUACCCGGGUAGUCCCAGCUGUAAACGAUGCAGACUAGAUGAUGCAUUGGCAUAAUAGCCAUUGCAGUGUCUCAGGGAAGCCGUUAAGUCUGCCGCCUGGGAAGUACGUACGCAAGUAUGAAACUUAAAGGAAUUGGCGGGGG
rnacentral:rRNA from 1 species